UACGAAGGGGGCUAGCGUUGCUCGGAAUUACUGGGCGUAAAGCGCACGUAGGCGGUCUUUUAAGUUAGAGGUGAAAGCCCGGGGCUCAACUCCGGAAUUGCCUUUAAGACUGCAUCGCUCGAAUUGUGGAGAGGUAAGUGGAAUUCCGAGUGUAGAGGUGAAAUUCGUAGAUAUUCGGAAGAACACCAGUGGCGAAGGCGACUUACUGGACACAUAUUGACGCUGAGGUGCGAAAGCGUGGGGAGCAAACAGG
rnacentral:rRNA from 1 species